UACGUAGGGUGCAAGCGUUGUCCGGAAUUACUGGGCGUAAAGCGUGCGCAGGCGGUUUUGUAAGCCAGAUGUGAAAUCCCCGGGCUUAACCUGGGAAUGGCAUUUGGGACUGCAAGGCUUGAGUGCGGCAGAGGAGACUGGAAUUCCUGGUGUAGCAGUGAAAUGCGUAGAUAUCAGGAGGAACACCGAUGGCGAAGGCAGGUCUCUGGGCUGACACUGACGCUCAUGCACGAAAGCGUGGGGAGCAAACGAGG
rnacentral:rRNA from 1 species